ACUAAGCGUACACGGUGGAUGCCCUGGCAGUCAGAGGCGAUGAAGGACGUGCUAAUCUGCGAAAAGCGUCGGUAAGGUGAUAUGAACCGUUAUAACCGGCGAUGUCCGAAUGGGGAAACCCAGUGCAAUUCGUUGCACUAUCGUUAACUGAAUACAUAGGUUAACGAGGCGAACCGGGGGAACUGAAACAUCUAAGUACCCCGAGGAAAAGAAAUCAACCGAGAUUCCCCCAGUAGCGGCGAGCGAACGGGGAGCAGCCCAGAGUCUGAAUCAGCUUGUGUGUUAGUGGAACGGUCUGGAAAGUCCGACGGUACAGGGUGAUAGUCCCGUACACCAAAAUGCACAGGCUGUGAACUCGAAGAGUAGGGCGGGACACGUGGUAUCCUGUCUGAAUAUGGGGGGACCAUCCUCCAAGGCUAAAUACUCCUGACUGACCGAUAGUGAACCAGUACCGUGAGGGAAAGGCGAAAAGAACCCCGGCGAGGGGAGUGAAAAAGAACCUGAAACCGUGUACGUACAAGCAGUGGGAGCACCUUCGGGUGUGACUGCGUACCUUUUGUAUAAUGGGUCAGCGACUUAUAUUCUGUAGCAAGGUUAACCGUAUAGGGGAGCCGCAGGGAAACCGAGUCUUAACUGGGCGUUAAGUUGCAGGGUAUAGACCCGAAACCCGGUGAUCUAGCCAUGGGCAGGUUGAAGGUUGGGUAACACUAACUGGAGGACCGAACCGACUAAUGUUGAAAAAUUAGCGGAUGACUUGUGGCUGGGGGUGAAAGGCCAAUCAAACCGGGAGAUAGCUGGUUCUCCCCGAAAGCUAUUUAGGUAGCGCCUCGUGAACUCAUCUUCGGGGGUAGAGCACUGUUUCGGCUAGGGGGUCAUCCCGACUUACCAACCCGAUGCAAACUACGAAUACCGAAGAAUGUUAUCACGGGAGACACACGGCGGGUGCUAACGUCCGUCGUGAAGAGGGAAACAACCCAGACCGCCAGCUAAGGUCCCAAAGUCAUGGUUAAGUGGGAAACGAUGUGGGAAGGCACAGACAGCCAGGAUGUUGGCUUAGAAGCAGCCAUCAUUUAAAGAAAGCGUAAUAGCUCACUGGUCGAGUCGGCCUGCGCGGAAGAUGUAACGGGGCUAAACCAUGCACCGAAGCUGCGGCAGCGACACUAUGUGUUGUUGGGUAGGGGAGCGUUCUGUAAGCCUGCGAAGGUGUGCUGUGAGGCAUGCUGGAGGUAUCAGAAGUGCGAAUGCUGACAUAAGUAACGAUAAAGCGGGUGAAAAGCCCGCUCGCCGGAAGACCAAGGGUUCCUGUCCAACGUUAAUCGGGGCAGGGUGAGUCGACCCCUAAGGCGAGGCCGAAAGGCGUAGUCGAUGGGAAACAGGUUAAUAUUCCUGUACUUGGUGUUACUGCGAAGGGGGGACGGAGAAGGCUAUGUUAGCCGGGCGACGGUUGUCCCGGUUUAAGCAUGUAGGCUGGUUAUCCAGGCAAAUCCGGAUAAUCAAGGCUGAGGUGUGAUGACGAGGCACUACGGUGCUGAAGUAACAAAUGCCCUGCUUCCAGGAAAAGCCUCUAAGCAUCAGGUAACAUCAAAUCGUACCCCAAACCGACACAGGUGGUCAGGUAGAGAAUACCAAGGCGCUUGAGAGAACUCGGGUGAAGGAACUAGGCAAAAUGGUGCCGUAACUUCGGGAGAAGGCACGCUGGUGUGUAGGUGAAGUCCCUGCGGAUGGAGCUGAGACCAGUCGAAGAUACCAGCUGGCUGCAACUGUUUAUUAAAAACACAGCACUGUGCAAACACGAAAGUGGACGUAUACGGUGUGACGCCUGCCCGGUGCCGGAAGGUUAAUUGAUGGGGUUAUCCGUAAGGAGAAGCUCUUGAUCGAAGCCCCGGUAAACGGCGGCCGUAACUAUAACGGUCCUAAGGUAGCGAAAUUCCUUGUCGGGUAAGUUCCGACCUGCACGAAUGGCGUAAUGAUGGCCAGGCUGUCUCCACCCGAGACUCAGUGAAAUUGAACUCGCUGUGAAGAUGCAGUGUACCCGCGGCAAGACGGAAAGACCCCGUGAACCUUUACUAUAGCUUGACACUGAACAUUGAGCCUUGAUGUGUAGGAUAGGUGGGAGGCUUUGAAGCGUGGACGCCAGUCUGCGUGGAGCCAACCUUGAAAUACCACCCUUUAAUGUUUGAUGUUCUAACGUUGGCCCCUUACCGGGGUUGCGGACAGUGUCUGGUGGGUAGUUUGACUGGGGCGGUCUCCUCCCAAAGCGUAACGGAGGAGCACGAAGGUUAGCUAAUCCUGGUCGGACAUCAGGAGGUUAGUGCAAUGGCAUAAGCUAGCUUGACUGCGAGCGUGACGGCGCGAGCAGGUGCGAAAGCAGGUCAUAGUGAUCCGGUGGUUCUGAAUGGAAGGGCCAUCGCUCAACGGAUAAAAGGUACUCCGGGGAUAACAGGCUGAUACCGCCCAAGAGUUCAUAUCGACGGCGGUGUUUGGCACCUCGAUGUCGGCUCAUCACAUCCUGGGGCUGAAGUAGGUCCCAAGGGUAUGGCUGUUCGCCAUUUAAAGUGGUACGCGAGCUGGGUUUAGAACGUCGUGAGACAGUUCGGUCCCUAUCUGCCGUGGGCGCUGGAGAAUUGAGGGGGGCUGCUCCUAGUACGAGAGGACCGGAGUGGACGCAUCACUGGUGUUCGGGUUGUCAUGCCAAUGGCACUGCCCGGUAGCUAAAUGCGGAAGAGAUAAGUGCUGAAAGCAUCUAAGCACGAAACUUGCCCCGAGAUGAGUUCUCCCUGAGACUUUAAGUCUCCUGAAGGAACGUUGAAGACGACGACGUUGAUAGGCCGGGUGUGUAAGCGCAGCGAUGCGUUGAGCUAACCGGUACUAAUGAACCGUGAGGCUUAACC
rnacentral:rRNA from 1 species